GAUGAACGCUGGCGGCGUGCUUAACACAUGCAAGUCGAACGAGAAAUGGAGACGGAAACCUUCGGGCGGAAGGCUUCAUUUCGAGUGGCGGACGGGUGAGUAACGCGUGGGUAACCUGCCUCAUACGGGGGGAUAACAGUUGGAAACGACUGUUAAUACCGCAUAAGACCACAGCACCGCAUGGUGCGGGGGUAAAAACUCCGGUGGUAUGAGAUGGACCCGCGUUCGAUUAGCCAGUUGGCGGGGUAACGGCCCACCAAAGCGACGAUCGAUAGCCGAUCUGAGAGGAUGACCGGCCACAUUGGGACUGAGACACGGCCCAAACUCCUACGGGAGGCAGCAGUGGGGAAUAUUGCACAAUGGGGGAAACCCUGAUGCAGCGACGCCGCGUGAGUGAAGAAGUACUUCGGUAUGUAAAGCUCUAUCAGCAGGGAAGAAAAUGACGGUACCUGAGUAAGAAGCCCCGGCUAACUACGUG
rnacentral:rRNA from 1 species